GGGGGCGUACUGGCUUCGACUUGGGUAACACGCCAGAGGCGGCAUGCCGAGGAUGGUUCGUUGGCCUCGUUAAUCAUCGAACCGAACAUUAAAAGCUAACCAAGAAUUAGCUCUCGCGGCUUAAUACCGCCGUGACGUUCACCGCUGGACACCUGCUACGGUGGCUGAACGCGACAGCAGGUUAGGUCAAACACGGAGUCUGCGCGGGUUUGGCCGAAACAUUUUCAUGCGGGCUGGGCCGUGCGAUUCGCGUCGGAAGGUUAUCGCGCGGCCGAGACUCUCUUCCGGCUAAGCAUGUAGUCGCGGCUGGCAAGUUAAUCAAGGACGCGGGUUCAACUCCCGCCGCCUCCACCA
rnacentral:tmRNA from 1 species